AGAGUUUGAUCCUGGCUCAGGAUGAACGCUAGCUACAGGCUUAACACAUGCAAGUCGCGGGGCAGCAUGGGGGUUGCUUGCAACCCCCGAUGGCGACCGGCGCACGGGUGAGUAACGCGUAUCCAACCUGCCCUUCACCACGGGAUAACCCGGCGAAAGUCGGACUAAUACCGUAUGUUGUCCAUUGACGGCAUCCGAUUUGGACGAAAGGCUUAGCGGUGAGGGAUGGGGAUGCGUCCGAUUAGCUUGACGGCGGGGUAACGGCCCACCGUGGCGACGAUCGGUAGGGGUUCUGAGAGGAAGGUCCCCCACACUGGAACUGAGACACGGUCCAGACUCCUACGGGAGGCAGCAGUGAGGAAUAUUGGUCAAUGGGCGGAAGCCUGAACCAGCCAAGUAGCGUGCAGGAUGACGGCCCUAUGGGUUGUAAACUGCUUUUAUGCGGGGAUAAAGGAGCCCACGUGUGGGCUUUUGCAGGUACCGCAUGAAUAAGGACCGGCUAAUUCCGUGCCAGCAGCCGCGGUAAUACGGAAGGUCCGGGCGUUAUCCGGAUUUAUUGGGUUUAAAGGGAGCGUAGGCCGCCCCUUAAGCGUGUUGUGAAAUGCGGGUGCUCAACAUCCGACUUGCAGCGCGAACUGGGGGGCUUGAGUGCGCCGAAAGUAGGCGGAAUUCGUGGUGUAGCGGUGAAAUGCUUAGAUAUCACGAAGAACUCCGAUUGCGAAGGCAGCUUACUGUAGCGCAACUGACGCUGAUGCUCGAAAGCGUGGGUAUCGAACAGGAUUAGAUACCCUGGUAGUCCACGCGGUAAACGAUGGAUGCUCGUUGUCGGCCUGUGUGGUCGGUGACCAAGCGAAAGCGUUAAGCAUCCCACCUGGGGAGUACGCCGGCAACGGUGAAACUCAAAGGAAUUGACGGGGGCCCG
rnacentral:rRNA from 1 species